UACUACCCACCACUGCGACGUGUAUGCUCAUGUUGGCUGGCCCUCACUACAUAUUCGUCGCCAAACCCACUGGCUCCAGGUCAUCUCCGGAGGCAUGUUGAUGUCACAGAUCUGCAGGGAGGCUCUCAGCAGCGUUGUUAACGCUUGUGCAGAGGAGCUAGAUGGCUUUCCAGUUAUUCUAGUAUGUGGUGCUAAGAAUGUUGGGAAGUCCACCUUCAACCGUCACUUCAUCAGUACCUUAAUAAACCACACUGCAAGUGUAGAAUACCUGGAGUGUGACCUGGGCCAGACAGAGUUCACUCCCUCAGGUUGUCUUUCCCUGUCUACUGUUAGAGAGCCACUGCUGGGUCCCCCAUCACACACCAGUGGGCCCCAGAGCACAUGAUCUUCUAAGAAGAUGGCACCGAAGAACAUGGCUGAUGUUUUACAUUCUCCCAACUAGAGGUCGACCGAUUAUGAUUUUUCAACGCCGAUACCGAUUAUUGGAGGACCAAAAAAGCCGAUACUGAUUAAUCGGCCAAUUUUUUGGGGGACUAUUUUUUUACAUUUGUAAUAAUGACAAUUACAACAAUACUGAAUGAACACUUAUUUUAUUGAUGUAUUAUAUUAAGUUAAAAUCAAUUUAGCCUCAAGUAAAUAAUGAAACAUGUUCAAUUUGGUUUAAAUAAUGCAAAAACAAAGUGUUGGAGAAGAAAGUAAAAGUGCAAUAUGUGCUAUGUAAGAAAGCUAACGUUUCAGUUCCUUGCUCAGAACAUGAGAACAUAUGAAAGCUGGUGGUUCCUUUAAACACGAGUCUUCAAUAUAGUUUGUAGUUAUUAUAGGAAUUAUAGGACUAUUUCCCUCUAUACCAUUUGUAUUUCAUUAACCUUUGACUAUUGGAUGUUCUUUUAGGCACUUUAGUAUUGCUAGUGUAACAGUAUAGCUUCCGUCCCUCUCCUCGCUCCUCCCUGGGCUCGAACCAGCAACACAACGACAACAGCCACCAUCGAAGCAGCGUUACCCAUGCAGAGCAAGGGGAACAACUACUAGAAUGCUCAGAGCGAGUGACGUUUGAAACGCUAUUAGCGCGCACUAACUAGCUAGCCAUUUCACUUCGGUUACACCAGCCUCAUCUCGGGAGUUGAUAGGCUUGAAGUCAUAAACAGCGCAAUGCUUGACGCGUAACGCACGAAAGUGCUGUUUGAAUGAAUGUUUACGUGCCUGCUUCUGCCUAAUCACCGCUCAGUCAGAUACUUAGAUACUUGUAUGCUCAGGCAGAUUAUAUGCAACGCAGGACACUAGAUAAUAUCAUCAACCAUGUGUAGUUAACUACUGAUUAUGAUUGAUUGUUUUUUAUAAGAUAAGUUUAAUGCUAGCUAGCAACUUAUCUUGGCUUACUGCAUUUGCGUAACAGGCAGUCUCCUUGUGGAGUGCAACGAGAGCGAGUCAGGUCGUUAUUGCAUUGGACUAGUUAACUGUAAGGUUGCAAGAUUGAAUCCCCCGAGCUGACAAGGUGAAAAUCUGUCGUUCUGGGCCUGAAGAAGGCAGUUAACCCACCAUUCCUAGGCCGUCAUUGAAAAUAAGAAUGUGUUCUUAGCUGACUUGCCUAGCUAAAUAAAGGUAAAACAAAUUUUAAAAUGAAUCGGCGCCCAAAAAUACUGAUUUCCGAUUUGUAAUGAAAACUUGAAAUCGGCCCUAAUUAAUCGGCCAUUCCGAUUAAUCGGUCGACCUCUACUCCCAACCAAUUGUGCUAUUUUUUUUUUUUGCGUUUUGUGUAAAUACUUUUAUUUUGUACAUAAUGUUGCUGCUACUGUCUGUUAUUACCGAAAAUAACUUCUGGCCAUCAGAACCACGAUUACUCAUGGUGGACUGGAAGAGACUUUUUCUUUUAACGAGUCCCACGAGAAGGAUAUACUGCUUUCACUGGAACAGGCACAGAUCCCCGUAAUUUGCUUGAAGAAAAGACACAGGAAAAGGGGCCGCGGAUUGGGGUGCCUUCUGAGAAUCCGUAGGCGAGCAGGUUUUGGCUUUCAGUUGCUGGUGGACAUCAUUUGCCUCUGCUCCGUCUCUCACAUGGUGCAGCUCAGUAGUGGGGAUAAAGUCAUGUGCCCCCAACUCACCCCUGAGUUCCUGAGGUCAUCACAUGGCUGGCACACACCCUCCUGCCCAGUCAGCCCUGGGGGAGGACUACUCUGAAUCCCAUCCUCUCCAGUGGAGAUACUCUAUUCAGUAUUCACCCAGAGUUUGAAGGAGUGGGGCGCCCGAGCGAAAUGAGACACCAGUGUAGCAAUGAGCAGGGUGACCUGGCUCUGCUGGGCUACUUCAGCCAGCUGCAGUCCCCUGAACCAGACUCCGUCAGACCCCUGCACGGCUUCACCCCCUACCAGCAGUGGCGGUGGGUGUGAUGAACUGUGAGGUAGCACCAGCUCAUGUGCUCUACGCUGCCAAUGCCAGUGGUGAGGCUGUGCUUUCUGAAUGAGAAGGUAUCAGGCAGGGGAGGCCCAGUUCUACUCUCUCAAACCCCUGUCUGUCCCUGCGUGGGAUAUGCAGGUGUCCUUUGGGGGUGUGGACAUGGCACGUGGCCUGUACACCUGUAGCUCCCUCAGUCCUCCGUCAGGUCAACGGUCUUCUGCUGGGUGCUGUCACACUGCCCAACAUCCUCCUCACAGGACAGACAGGAAUUGUGGGAGAGCCUCCCUAUGUCACAAUAGACUACAACUUUGAUCUAACCGGGGCUGGGAAGAUUCACGUCUUCAAGGGGCUUGCAAGAUCUGACCAGAUGAAUAACGCAAAGUGAUUGUUUUUGUGAGAAGAGACUAUGGUUUCACACAAGAAAUCUGAAAUCUGAAUAUUUUUUACCUUCCUUGUUUACUGACUUCAAACACCAAGGCCAGAGUCAAGGCCGUUGAAUUUACAGAACAUAAAGUUCCGGAGAUAGGACUGUGGAGUUGCCAUGAGUGACUUAAGGCGGCAGGGUAGCCUAGUGGUUAGAGCGUUGGACUAGUACCCGAAAGAUUGCAAGUUCGAAUCCCCGAGCUGACAAGGUACAAAUCUGUCGUUCUGCCCCUGAACAGGCAGUUAACCCACUGUCAUUGAAAAUAAGAAUUUCUUCUUAACUGACUUGCCUAGUGAAAUAAAAUAAAAAUAUGUUCCAGAUCACUCUUCUCAAGACUGCCAUAGCUAUGAUGGCCACCUCCUUGUAUGGGUCAAUUGGGUUGACCUUGGUCUUCAAUCACCAGAAUUGGAUUGGCCAGUGAUAUUCAUUAGUUCAGGAUGACUGUUUCAAAGUGUUUCUAUCACAUGGACAAUAUCUAGACAUGCAGUUACAUGUCUGCAUCUGAAAUAGCACCAUAUGAUCUAGUGCACCAUAUAGGGAAUAUGGUGCCAUUUUGGACACAGGUAGGUUUCCAUCCAAUUGGCGACAAACUGACUUAUUGUGGAUAUAGAGGCUGGGCUGUGCGUGAUGAUCAGUGGUGAUUUUUGCAGAUAAAUCUUGAUGGGGCAAACUCUGAAAAAUGUUUUUAGAUGCAUACCAGCAAAUCCACUACACUAAACAAUACAUUAAUUGCAUUACAACGGUGACAAAUGGUGCCCACAAACUUUUAGGACCUACAUAAAGAGCUUUCUUUUGGUUAUCAGCAGAGCCUUGUCUGGGAGCAAAGCAGAAAAACAUAGCUGAUGUGGUUUCUACUGACAUUUGAGAUGUACCAACUAUGGCAUAAGAAGACGACGAGCUGAAAGAGGCAAUCCGUAAUUUCAAUUGACAUUAAUGAGCGAGCUAGGAUGGACAUAGUCAAUAUAACUAUUUGUUCAGCUCUUUUGAAAUGUACAGAGUCAGAAUUCAGAACAUGGGCCUUUCUUACCAUAUUCUCCCUGUACUCCAAGUCAGAACCGUAGGAUAAAUAUAGGGGACAUUUAAGCAGACAAUGAAAGCUCUUACAAUAUUUGAUGAUUACAUUUCUCUAAAACAGGCUAUAGGCUACAUGUGCACCUCCAAGUCAGAACAGUAGGCUAAGUUAUGACGGGGGAAAGGGAACACAUUAUUUGGGAGAAGCACAUGCACUACUAACAGCUUACUACACAACAUACACUUAGUAUUACUUUCUUCGCUACAGUAUACAUAUCUCCCUGGCAUAUUACAUAACUUAUGCAGCAGCAUACAAUACGUUUUUGGACUCACCUUGUGGGCAAGGAUAUAUAUAUAUAUGCCUGUUUCGCAUGUUAUUUUGGCAUUAAUACGUGUCACAUGUCAGUUUGCAAACGAUCAAAAAAUAAAUAUAUCCUUAAGUUAAUAAAGUCGCAUACAAACAUGGUAUCUUUUGAUGCUACAUAAAAUCAGAGAAUGCCAGACUAUAUAGUACAUGUCAAAAGUUUGGACACCACAUUCCAGGGUUUGUAACUUGCUCUACAAUCCAUCUCUAGAGCUAUUGUAUAGCACCUAUUGAUAUAUUCCAGAGCAAUAAAUAUAAGCUCUACACAGCAAUGCGUCCAGGUCCAGUUUCUGGUAUAUAUUUUGUUUUUGGUCAAUAAAAAAAAAAAUCACUGAAUAGUAGUGCACUGCGGAUUGUUAGACAGUAUUCCAUCCACGUUUCUUUUUUAAAGCAAGUAAUGUCUGUUGAUGUUUCAAUAAACAUCUCUAUGUUGCAUUUAUUUCUUAGAGUACUGGAUUACUGCACAUUGAUUUACCUAUUUAGUAAUCUGACCUUGUAACAAAAUGUGAACUAUGUCAUUGAUUUAUGAAUUGUGCGAUGGAGAUCAGUCCAUCUUGCAGAAUUGAAAUGAGACUUACAACCACAUUAAGAAUUCCAGGGAAGGAUUGUUACCAAUACUCUAUUCUCUCCAUGUUUUUCUCUCUUUCCCUUGCUUUCUCUUAAGGCUCCAGUUUCAUCAGAAGUUGGAAAUAGAACUAAAUAAAAAACAAUUUCAGGUCUUUUGUUU